CGUAUAAGCUCAGUCGGUAGAGCAUGGUGCUAAUAACGCCAGGGUCCUGGGUUCGAGCCCCAGUAUG
rnacentral:tRNA from 1 species